UACGUAGGGUGCAAGCGUUGUCCGGAAUUAUUGGGCGUAAAGGGCUCGUAGGCGGUUUGUCGCGUCGGGAGUGAAAUCCACUGGCUUAACUGGUGGCUUGCUUUCGAUACGGGCAGACUGGAGGUAUGCAGGGGAGAACGGAAUUCCUGGUGUAGCGGUGAAAUGCGUAGAUAUCGUAAGGAAGACCAGUGGCGAAGGCGGGUCUCUGGACAGUUCCUGACGCUGAGGCACGAAGGCCAGGGGAGCAAACGGG
rnacentral:rRNA from 1 species